UACGGAGGAGGCAAGCGUUAUCCGGAAUUAUUGGGCGUAAAGCGUCCGCAGGUGGCGAUUCAAGUCUGCGGUCAAAGACUGGGGCUUAACCCUGGAAAGGCCGUGGAAACUGAAUAGCUAGAGUGCAGUAGGGGUAGAGGUAAUUCCCGGUGUAGCGGUGAAAUGCGUAGAGCUCGGGAAGAACAUCGGUGGCGAAAGCGCUCUGCUGGACUGCAACUGACACUCAGGGACGAAAGCUAGGGGAGCGAAUGGG
rnacentral:rRNA from 1 species